AUUGAACGCUGGCGGCAUGCCUUACACAUGCAAGUCGAACGGCAGCACGGGAGCAAUCCUGGUGGCGAGUGGCGAACGGGUGAGUAAAGUAUCGGAACGUGCCCAGUCGUGGGGGAUAACGUAGCGAAAGUUACGCUAAUACCGCAUACGAUCUAUGGAUGAAAGCGGGGGAUCGCAAGACCUCGCGCGAUUGGAGCGGCCGAUAUCAGAUUAGGUAGUUGGUGGGGUAAAGGCUCACCAAGCCGACGAUCUGUAGCUGGUCUGAGAGGACGACCAGCCACACUGGGACUGGGCAACGGCCCAGACUCCUACGGGAGGCAGCAGUGGGGAAUUUUGGACAAUGGGCGAAAGCCUGAUCCAGCCAUGCCGCGUGCAGGAUGAAGGCCUUUGGGUUGUAAACUGCUUUUGUACGGAACGAAAAGGUUUGGCCUAAUAAGCUGAGCUCAUGACGGUACCGUAAGAAUAAGCACCGGCUAACUACGUGCCAGCCGCCGCCGUAA
rnacentral:rRNA from 1 species